UACUUUCUGGGAACUACAGUCCCCAGAAUGCCUCCAUUCUAGGCAGAAAAAUCAGUACUGAGGUGUGCUGGCCUCAUAGCCUGCCUGAGAAGAGCCAGCUCUGGUGGGUUUUUUUUUAAUGAGUGAUAGGAUUGUUGAGAGCUCUGGAGCUCAUCUUCGGAUGAUGCUAGAAGCUUUAGCUCUCUCCUGCAAUUCAGCCCUGCCAGAAGCCAGCGGACUCCCCUCCCCUUUGCUAACCAUUUUCACAGGAGGGGUGAGGGGAACAGAAAAAGCCCAACAGCUCAGCAUAGCUUUAACCCUCCCUUUCUGUGAGCAAGGGGGACAGGACAGCAACUCUGUUCCUUCCCUCUGCAACAUCUGGCCUGGGAAGGGGCAGGAGGGUGAAGAGCCCCUGGAGCAGCAGAGGAUUCCACCCAAAGACCAACUUGAUUUCUGAGCUCCUCAGAACCGAGUGCUGUGGAUCGAGAAGAUGAUGUAAAUUCAAGUAUGAACAAAUCUGCUGACAGCAUCAAAACUGGAAAGAUAUCGAAUACAGUGGGGACAGACGCAAACUACAACUGGGCCAGGAGAGAUUGUAACGGAGACUCACACGUGAAGUGAGAAUCGAUAGAAAUACAUGUAAAUACAUACCCCUGGGAAGAGGAAAUAAAACACCAAAUGAUUUAUCAAUUUAUCUGGAAAUGGGGCCAGAUUCUCCAGUCUGCUAAGGCCACUUUGUGGCACAAAACAGACUUAAAGCAGCCUAAUAUGCUCUCAGAGAAUUCUCCUUUUGGAGGGAAACAGUCUGCUGGGGUAGCCUCCUCCUGAGCCCACUGCCACCUCAACCCACAGCAUAAGGAGAUUUAGGGGGUGCAGCCAUUCUAACCUGUGCAGCUGUAACUCCCAUUGGAACAGGUGGCUUCAGAUCAGGCAACUCUAAGUAGCUCUUUGCUCAUCCCCAUUUCCACUCUGUCGAAGCAGAGCUCAGGUGCAGUGGAAACAUUGAGCCCGGAGGAUGUUGGUGGCUGAAAACAGGUGCUUAGAAGAUGAAGCUUUCUCCUGCAGCAGGUCAUCAGGCUCACCAAGAAAGCCAAUGUAAGGGGAGAAGUGCCUGCUUUCCAAUGACAAGACAGCUUCCCAUGAAAGAAAUAGGAGCAGACCAAGACUGAGGUGAAUCAGCCAGUGUAGCUCCAUUCCAGUCAAUGGAGCUGUGCUAAUUUACAUCAAGCAGGGAUCUGGCCCAGAAUCUGUUUCUUGCCUUUCAGAUUGCUCUAUUAUAAUGUUACUAGUAUUAAUACUAAUUUUGACAAAUUACAAACAACGGGGAAAAAACACCACCUUCAUUAAGAACACACGUACCCGGGGUCCUAUAUAAAAGGAAGGGGGAAAGGUUCUACAUGUGGACUCAACAUUAAAAAUAAAAAACUUUUUUUCUGAAGGUAGG